CUUCCAUCCCCGUAUUUCUGUCAGCCAUCUUUGCUGAAGAAAGUAUCCAGUUUGGGUCGCAUAGCCUCUAAUUCGCCAUGGGAACCACUCGAUAUGAUUGGUCAUUGUCACGCCUUGGUCUUAGUAUUUUCGUUAUUUAUUUGGUCAGGCCAGGGGCCUGUUGCACAAAAGUAGAAUUAAGACAUCCGGGAUAAAUGACUCAGCUGAGCUCAAUGAAGCCAAAACAUGUGCGUCCAGGCUUAAUUGGUUGCACAAAGACCAAGCCAGGAUGAGCAGACACGGAUUCAUUAAACCAGGUGAAACCAAUCCUGGAUAGGUGCGCGCUCACGGCUCACUCAAAUAGACCCCGCCACAGAUCACAGAUUAACUGAUUUACCAUGCUAGAGCCGCGUACUUUUCCCCGUCGGAAGCACAAAUCCUCAUGGAGGCAUACGAGGAGGUAAAAUAUAUAAUUAAGAAGAAAGGUAACACCGCCACAGUGAUAAAGCAAAGAGAAAAAGCGUGGCAAAGUAUUGCAGACCGCCUGAAUGCAUUAAACAUGAACGGGCCAAAACGGACAUGGCAGCAGGUCAAAAUCAAAUACAAGAACAUUCUGCAGAAUGCAGUGAAAAAGAAUACCCACAGACAAGGCACGGGUGGUGGGUCACCAAAGGCUGACCUUACCCCAGCAGAGGACAUGGCCUUGGAGCUAAAUAAAGGCAGGCCCGUCUUAGAGGGGAUCCCUGGGGGGAAAGAGACGAGCAUAGGUUCCUCCCAAGAUGCCACCCGCUUCAUUCAAGUGUCUGGCAGCACUGUGUUCCUGUUAGAGCCACCAGCACAAGCACCAGACGAUGCUGAUCCAGGUGAAGGCCCCAGUGCAACAGCACAUGAUGGAGACUAUGAUGAUGAGGAGGAGACCAUCUCUCUGGAUUCCAGAAGGCAUGAGGACCCAGAUGCUAUACAGUGGGAAAACCAGCCUGGCAACAUAAGCUCACAAGCUAUCAGAAAGUUGUAUGGCAACCACCUCCGGCGCCAAAUAGAACUGGCAGACAUAGACAUUCAGUACAAGAAGAAAAAGAUGGAAAAUCUUGCACUGGAGUCCGAAAUAAAAAAGAGGACAAUUAGGAAACUGGACCUUGAAAUAAAAAAACUUGAGAGGGAGCUCCAAGAAGAUGACACAGCUCAAAAUAAAAAUUAGCACCAGGUGUGGCCACUAGCCUAUAUGAAGGCCCAAAAUUGUGUGUUCCUUUCUGCUCUGACAAUGGCAUGCCCAUUCGUGCGAGAUGUGGUGGAUGAAGAAGCACUUGUGCUGAGGAGAGCCUUCAGGCGAGAAAGGGUCUUCAGGGACCGGUUGGACCCACUGGCCUUCCCUGACGACCAUCUAUAUGAAAGAUACAGGUUUUCUGCAGAUGGCAUCAGGUAUCUAUGCAGACUACUGGGUCCCAGGAUUAAGCACCGCACUGCACGGAGCCAUGCACUGAGUGUGGAGCAAAUGGUUUGUGUGGCCUUGCGCUUUUUUGCUAGUGGAGCCUUCCUGUACUCAGUGGGGGAUGCUGAACAAGGCCACAAUUUGCUGCACAAUAAGGAGUGUGUCUGGCUAUCAAAGCAUUAGCAGAUGUCUUCAUCUCCUUCCCUGGCCACAGAAGACUCUGUGACAUCAAAGAGGAGUUCUAUAGGAUUGCAGAUGGUCUGCAAUGCUGACUGUGUGAUCAGCAAUGUUGUGGCAAAAUGGCCUGGCUCAGUCCAUGACUCCAGAAUCUUUCGGGCCUCUGAAAUCUAUCAGUGCCUAUCACA